rnacentral:lncRNA from 1 species
CAAAAGACACACGAACUCACAUUCUCAGUGUCGAUGUCUUUGUGAGACUGCCCACUUUCUCCUUUGAAGGUGUAAACUUUACCAUAAACUCUACCCAUCCUUGUGCAUGGCUGCUCAUGUGUCUCAGUUCACUUCUCUCAUCAAAGACACAAAGGACCAAGGACCCAGCUUCCUGGUGUUAGUGGAGGCCCUAGGGAUUAACAACAAACCCCAAACCUUUUUGGAAACCCGCAGAGUAAUGAGGUAUGAGUUACGUGCUCGGGAUGCUUCAGUUGCUUUUAUCAGGCAGAAUUAUCAUGAGAACAUCUUGGAGCUCAGAUGCUUUCCCGGCUGUCAGGCUGCUGCUAUGAUAAUCACUGUGCUAAUCACCCACACCUUGCAGAUUAGCAGAGAUGAGUGGUGGCCCGAGGAGUGGGAGGUAGGCUGGCUUCCAGGACGCAUCUGCCGGAACCCCAGAGGAUCCCGUAAUCAUCACAGAGUCCCAAGGACACACAGUUUUUCUUUGAGGAUGAACAUAUCUGCAUGCAACACAGACUCGAUGAUGAAAACCUCAUCUCCAUCACUUCAUGAGUGGCUUGCUCACAGCUGGAUUUCUAAGUCCCACCAAGCUUCAGUCCUGCUACCUGCAAAAUGGGUACAGAGCAGCAGCGACCUAGCAGAACCCUUCUGGGUACUGCCUUGAAUCCAGUACUUGACAGAAAAGUGAAUACAAC